CCCUUAGAUGUUCUGGGCCGCACGCGCGCUACACUGAUUCAUGCAACAAGUUUUGUCCUUGGCUGAUAGGCCUGGGUAAUCUUUGAACGUGAAUCGUGAUGGGGAUAGAUGAUUGCAAUUAUUCAUCUUCAACGAGGAAUUCCUAGUAAACGCAAGUCAUCAGCUUGCAUUGAUUACGUCCCUGCCCUUUGUACACACCGCCCGUCGCACCUACCGAUUGAAUGGUCCGGUGAAAUCUCGGGACGGCGGCUUGGUCGCUUGCGUCCGACUGCUGAAACUUGAUUAAACCAUAUCAUUUAGAGGAAGGUGAAGUCGUANCA
rnacentral:rRNA from 1 species